rnacentral:rRNA from 1 species
CAGCAGCCGCGGUAAUACGGAGGGGGCUAGCGUUGUUCGGAAUUACUGGGCGUAAAGCGCACGUAGGCGGCUUGGUAAGUUAGAGGUGAAAGCCCGGAGCUCAACUCCGGAAUUGCCUUUAAGACUGCCGAGCUAGUAGGUGAGAGAGGUAAGUGGAAUUCCGAGUGUAGAGGUGAAAUUCGUAGAUAUUCGGAAGAACACCAGUGGCGAAGGCGGCUUACUGGCUCAUUCUAGACGCUGAGGUGCGAAAGCGUGGGGAGCAAACAGGAUUAGAUACCCCCGUAGUCCCUGUCUCUUAUAU